rnacentral:rRNA from 1 species
AACGAACGCUGGCGGCAUGCCUAACACAUGCAAGUCGAACGAGACCUUCGGGUCUAGUGGCGCACGGGUGCGUAACGCGUGGGAACCUGCCCUUAGGUUCGGAAUAACUCCCCGAAAGGGGUGCUAAUACCGGAUAAUGUCUUCGGACCAAAGAUUUAUCGCCUUUGGAUGGGCCCGCGUUGGAUUAGCUAGUUGGUAGGGUAAAAGCCUACCAAGGCGACGAUCCAUAGCUGGUCUGAUAGGAUGAUCAGCCACACUGGGACUGAGACACGGCCCAGACUCCGACGGGAGGCAGCAGUGGGGAAUAUUGGACAAGGAGCGAAAGCCUGAUCAAGCAAUGCCGCGUGAGAGAGGAAGGCCUUAGGGUUGUAAAGCUCUUUUACCCGGGAUGAGAAUGACAGUAACGGGAGAAGAAGCUCCGGCUAACUCCGUG